CGCGGCGUGCCUAAUACAUGCAAGUCGAACGAGUUCUCGUUGAUGAUCGGUGCUUGCACCGAGAUUCAACAUGGAACGAGUGGCGGACGGGUGAGUAACACGUGGGUAACCUGCCCUUAAGUGGGGGAUAACAUUUGGAAACAGAUGCUAAUACCGCAUAGAUCCAAGAACCGCAUGGUUCUUGGCUGAAAGAUGGCGUAAGCUAUCGCUUUUGGAUGGACCCGCGGCGUAUUAGCUAGUUGGUGAGGUAAUGGCUCACCAAGGCGAUGAUACGUAGCCGAACUGAGAGGUUGAUCGGCCACAUUGGGACUGAGACACGGCCCAAACUCCUACGGGAGGCAGCAGUAGGGAAUCUUCCACAAUGGACGCAAGUCUGAUGGAGCAACGCCGCGUGAGUGAAGAAGGCUUUCGGGUCGUAAAACUCUGUUGUUGGAGAAGAAUGGUCGGCAGAGUAACUGUUGCCGGCGUGACGGUAUCCAACCAGAAAGCCACGGCUAACUACGUGCCAGCAGCCGCGGUAAUACGUAGGUGGCAAGCGUUAUCCGGAUUUAUUGGGCGUAAAGCGAGCGCAGGCGGUUUUUUAAGUCUGAUGUGAAAGCCCUCGGCUUAACCGAGGAAGCGCAUCGGAAACUGGGAAACUUGAGUGCAGAAGAGGACAGUGGAACUCCAUGUGUAGCGGUGAAAUGCGUAGAUAUAUGGAAGAACACCAGUGGCGAAGGCGGCUGUCUGGUCUGUAACUGAC
rnacentral:rRNA from 1 species